rnacentral:rRNA from 1 species
AUACGGAGGAUGCAAGCGUUAUCCGGAUUUAUUGGGUUUAAAGGGUGCGUAGGCGGAGGAGUAAGUCAGGGGUGAAAUGCCGCAGCUCAACUGCGGAACUGCCUUUGAUACUGCUAUUCUGGAGUCCGGAUGCCGUGGGAGGAAUGGGCAGUGUAGCGGUGAAAUGCAUAGAUAUUGCCCAGAACACCGAUUGCGAAGGCAUCUCACGAAUCCGGGACUGACGCUGAGGCACGAAAGCGUGGGGAUCAAACAGGAUUAGAUACCCUGGUAGUCCACGCAGUAAACGAUGAUAACUAACCGUCGGCGAUAGACAGUCGGUGGCCAAGCGAAAGCGAUAAGUUAUCCACCUGGGGAGUACGUUCGCAAGAAUGAAACUCAAAUGAAUCGACGGGG